GCGGGAGUAGCUCAGUGGUAGAGCGUCAGCCUUCCAAGCUGAGGGUCGCGGGUUCAAAUCCCGUUUCCCGCU
rnacentral:tRNA from 1 species